rnacentral:lncRNA from 1 species
ACUGUAACAUUAGGAUGAUAAGAGGUGAAGAAGAAAAUGUGGUAAUAUAAUGGAGGUAGUGAUUUGAUCAUAAUAGAGAAAAAUGUAGUAAUAAGAUUACAAUGGUAGUAGUACCUGUAAUACAACGAUAAUGAUAAUUUUGUCAUUAGUUGUAACGAAGUAGAACUAUGGUGAAAAUUUGUGAUAGUGGUGACGAUAUAUAUAAUCAUGGUAUUGAUAACGAUGAAAAUAGUAAUUAUGAUGAUAAUAAUGGUUAAGAUAG